rnacentral:rRNA from 1 species
UACGCAGGGUGCAAGCGUUGUCCGGAAUUAUUGGGCGUAAAGAGCUCGUAGGCGGUUUGUUGCGUCGGCUGUGAAAUCCCGAGGCUCAACCUCGGGUCUGCAGUCGAUACGAGCAAACUAGAGUGUUGCAGGGGAGACUGGAAUUCCUGGUGUAGCGGUGAAAUGCGCAGAUAUCAGGAGGAACACCGGUGGCGAAGGCGGGUCUCUGGGCAACAACUGACGCUGAGGAGCGAAAGCGUGGGGAGCAAACAGG